rnacentral:rRNA from 1 species
UUUUAUGGAGAGUUUGAUCCUGGCUCAGAGUGAACGCUGGCGGCGUGCCUAAUACAUGCAAGUCGAACGAUGAAGCUUCUAGCUUGCUAGAAGUGGAUUAGUGGCGCACGGGUGAGUAAGGUAUAGUUAAUCUGCCCUACACAAGAGGACAACAGUUGGAAACGACUGCUAAUACUCUAUACUCCUGCUUAACACAAGUUGAGUAGGGAAAGUUUUUCGGUGUAGGAUGAGACUAUAUAGUAUCAGCUAGUUGGUAAGGUAAUGGCUUACCAAGGCUAUG